UCUAUUGAGUGAGAUUGAAUACAAUGUAAGUAACCUAUGCGAUCAGAGUAGCUCUCCUGGGAUUAGAGAACUUCCACGAUUAUCCUCAGGCAAUCGCCGAAAUU